rnacentral:rRNA from 1 species
UACGAAGGGUGCUAGCGUUGUUCGGAAUUACUGGGCGUAAAGCGCGCGUAGGCGGCUUAACAAGUCAGGGGUGAAAUCCUGGGGCUUAACCCCAGAAUUGCCUUUGAAACUGUUAAGCUUGAGUGUCGGAGGGGAUAGCGGAAUUCCUAAUGUAGAAGUGAAAUUCGUAGAUAUUAGGAGGAACACCGGUGGCGAAGGCAGUGUCCUGGGGAGUACCUGACGCUCAGGUGCGAAAGCCAGGGGAGCGAACGGG